UAGUCCACACCGUAAACGAUGAAUGCCAGUCGUCAGAGGGCUUGCCCUUUGGUGACACACCUAACGGAUUAAGCAUUCCGCCUGGGGAGUACGGUCGCAAGAUUAAAACUUAAAGGAAUUGACGGGGGCCCGCACAAGCGGUGGAGCAUGUGGUUUAAUUCGAAGUCAACGCGCAGAACCUUACCAACCCUUGACAUCCUGUGCUAUAUCCAGAGAUGGAUAGUUCCCUUCGGGGACGCAGUGACAGGUGCUGCAUGGCUGUCGUCAGCUCGUGUCGUGAGAUGUUCGGUUAAGUCCGGCAACGAGCGCAACCCACAUCUUUAGUUGCCAGCAGUUCGGCUGGGCACUCUAAAGAAACUGCCCGUGAUAAGCGGGAGGAAGGUGUGGAGUGACGUCAAGUCCUCAUGGCCCUUACGGGUUGGGCUACACACGUGCUACAAUGGCGAUGACAGUGAGCGGCUAACCCGCGAGGGCAAGCUAAUCUCUAAAAGUCGUCUCAGUUCGGU
rnacentral:rRNA from 1 species